rnacentral:tRNA from 1 species
AUUUAAGUAGUUUAAAAUAAAACUUUGAUUUGUGGUGUCAAUGAUGUAAUUAAUUUACCUUAAAUU